ensembl:lncRNA novel transcript
AAGAUCAGGAGUGGGACUUGGAGGAAUAAGCUGCAUUUAGGAAAUGAGCAGAAGAAAGGUAGAGCUAAGGCCAUGAGGGCCAGAAGAGACGACUGGGGAGCAAAGGACGUAGGUGAGGGAGGAGGAAAUGAAGAAUUUAUACUGAAGGAACAACAAGGAUGACUUUUAGGAGGAGGGUGGUGAAUGGAAGAACCCUGAGACAAAGGAAGACAUCACCAGCCAGGGGAGACCAUCCCCUAUGACUUGCUUAUCAAGACAGGAAAAAAAUCGUUCAUCAUUGUGCAAAAUUUCAAGUCCACUAAACGAUCACAAGCAUCCUGACCUGAAAAUAUGGAUUUAAAUUACAGAAAAAUAUGAGAAAUUAUUUGGGAAAAUAUUAUAAAUAAGAAAUAGUCUGAGCCAUCAUAUUCAGAAGACAUGUGUCUCUCAUUCUGCAGAUUUUCAGUACAACACUAAGAGUGCGUCGUUUCAUGGGACUUGUCGAUUUUGAAAACCUUCAUUCUCUGCCCACAUUGAGUAGGCAACUAUUUCUCCAUGGCUUCCUCUUCCACACCCACUUCUACUAGAAACAGUUGGGUCUAAAAGGACCCAAAGAACAAAUGAAAUGGACGAUUACAUAUAUUCAUAGAGUUCUGUCACUUGGCUUCUUGUUUACUUGUCCUUAUAAUCCUAUGUGCCAGACUAGAAUGGCAAGCUCUGUUGUACAGUGAAAGAUUUGGUGAAUUUCAAUGCUUGCCCAAGAACACAAGGCUACUUAAGUGAGGAUUGCUAUUACAGAACCUAUAUUCCAGCCCCACUAAUGUUACAUUUCCCAUGAAAGACCAAAAGAAGAGAAAUCAGAUGUGUUAAGGGCUUGGUGGUAGCUGUGUUUUUCAUCUAUACAGCAUGUUUUCAUAUUGCCUUUGGCUAUUGAUCAUCAGUGAAUUUCCAAGUUAUGUGUGUGGAUAACAUGAUUUGUUAAGCAUGUCUGAACUGGAUCUCUGUCUCUUGCAACCAAAGGAACCCCAAUAUCAAAUACAUUUACAGCAGUGGAGAAAUAUAAUGCAAUUUAUCCAUUGUGCCCUGAGAUUUCCAGGCCAUACUAAGUUCAGAAG